AGGUAUUUCCCAGCCAAGACCCCCUGGACAGAGCAGACUUCAAUGCAGUGGAGUACAUUAAUACCCUGUUUCCCACUGAGCAGUCUUUGGCAAACAUCGAUGAGGUCGUGAACAAAAUCAGAUUGAAAAUAAGGAGGCUGGAUGACAACAUCCGAACCGUAGUGAGAGGACAAACCAACGUGGGGCAGGAUGGCAGGCAGG